UGGGGAAUUUUGCACAAUGGGGGAAACCCUGAUGCAGCGACGACGCGUGAUUUAGAAGGCCUUCGGGUUGUAAAAAUCUUUUCUAUGGGACGAAAAUGACAGUACCAUAGGAAUAAGGACCGGCUAAUUACGUGCCAGCAGCCGCGGUAAUACGUAAGGUCCGAGCGUUGUCCGGAAUCAUUGGGCGUAAAGGGUACGUAGGCGGGUAAGCAAGUUAGAAGUGAAAUCCUAUAGCUCAACUAUAGUAAGCUUUUAAAACUGCUCAUCUUGAGGUAUGGAAUGGAAGGUGGAAGUCCUAGUGUAGCGGUGAAAUGCGCAGAUAUAAGGAGGAAUACCGGUGGCGAAGGCGACUUUCUGGCCAUAAGCUGACGCUGAGGUACGAAAGCGUGGGUAGCAAACAGG
rnacentral:rRNA from 1 species